GUUGUGUUCUCUCGAUAGACAUCUGUUGUUGGGUCUCACCUGGUUGGAAGUGAUCGUACUAAUUUGGGCAGCGCUCAGAGUGUGGAAGCGUGAUUUCGCAAGGGCUCGCAGUCGACGAUCUACGGACUAGAGACUACUUUUGGCUUAGGGGGUUCUCCAACAGUAUUUUUUUUUCCAUGGAUGAAUCAGAUGUGGAAAUUACGUCGCUUGGUCCUAUUCCCCCGAUGGAUACCGCGACCGAAGUGAUGAAAGCCUCCAAGAGGAGAAUUUGUGAGCACGUGGUGGUGAUGCGAUUGAAGGAGGAUGUUGACAGGCAACAAGAGGCUGAAAUGCUUGAUGUGCUGUGGUCGUUGCAGUUCCACUUUGAUAGUAUUGUCUUUCUCUCUACAGGUGAAAUACUUUUAACGGUUGAUAAAUUUACAACAGCCUCAUGAGUUAAGUCCUUCCAUCUUGGUUAGGUGUGAAGAUUUAAUCUGCAGUGGUCUAUACUGCAAAAAAGUUCUCAUUUGGGAAUUCCUUGUCUGAGAAUUGGAUUUUGAAGCGUUUUCAAACUUGCAAGGAGGCUUAUUAAAGGGAAAGAGGGUUUGACCCAUGCACUUCA